GACGAACGCUGGCGGCGUGCUUAACACAUGCAAGUCGAACGGAAAGGCCCUGCUUUUGUGGGGUGCUCGAGUGGCGAACGGGUGAGUAACACGUGAGUAACCUGCCCUUGACUUUGGGAUAACUUCAGGAAACUGGGGCUAAUACCGGAUAGGAGCUCCUGCUGCAUGGUGGGGGUUGGAAAGUUUCGGCGGUUGGGGAUGGACUCGCGGGUUAUCAGCUUGUUGGUGGGGUAGUGGCUUACCAAGGCUUUGACGGGUAGCCGGCCUGAGAGGGUGACCGGGCACAAUGGGACUGAGAUACGGCCCAGACUCCUACGGGAGGCAGCAGUGGGGAAUAUUGCAGAAUGGGCGGAAGCCUGAGGCGGCAACGCCGCGUGCGGGAUGACGGCCUUCGGGUUGUAAACCGCUGUCGCCUGUGACGAAGCGUGAGUGACGGUAAUGGGUAAAGAAGCACCGGCUAACUACGUG
rnacentral:rRNA from 1 species